GAAACACCACAGGGGAGCGCAAUGAGAUUGGCGCUGAGAGUGCGCAAGCAGACCCUUCGAACCUGAUCCGGUAAGCACCGGCGGAGGAAGUGAGGACAGACACCGA
rnacentral:ncRNA from 2 species